GAUGAACGCUGGCGGCGUGCCUAACACAUGCAAGUCGAGCGAAGCACUUUGCUUGGAUUCUUCGGAUGAAGAGGAUUGUGACUGAGCGGCGGACGGGUGAGUAACGCGUGGGUAACCUGCCUCAUACAGGGGGAUAACAGUUAGAAAUGACUGCUAAUACCGCAUAAGACCACAGCACCGCAUGGUGCAGGGGCAAAAACUCCGGUGGUAUGAGAUGGACCCGCGUCUGAUUAGGUAGUUGGUGGGGUAACGGCCUACCAAGCCGACGAUCAGUAGCCGACCUGAGAGGGUGACCGGCCACAUUGGGACUGAGACACGGCCCAA
rnacentral:rRNA from 1 species